ACCACUAGCGAGUUAAAAUAUAAAUAACUAAAAACACAUGAUUAUUCUACUAAAACAAGCUUUUUAGCGUUUCAUAUAUAUUUUAGAAAAUCGAAAGCAUGUUCCGUUUUUAUCCUCUAUAUUAUCAUUCAGUUAUUUUAUCGUUCCAUUAAAUAUACCAAUUUGGCCUUAUGUAAAUCUAGUCAAUUUUAGUAUCAGAAAAAGCUACUCAUCUUUUGUUUUCAAAAAAGGAAAAAAAAA
rnacentral:lncRNA from 1 species